rnacentral:tRNA from 1 species
UGGGAGUGUAGCUUAGUUGGUAGAGCAGAUCCCUCUUAAGGAUAAGGUCCCGGGUUCGAAUCCCGGCUCUCCCAU